rnacentral:rRNA from 1 species
CCCUUAGAUGUUCUGGGCCGCACGCGUGCUACACUGAGUAAAUCAAUGGGUAAGGGAACACGAAAGUGCAACCUAAUCUUGAAAUUUGCUCGUGAUGGGGAUCGACGGUUGCAAUUUUCCGUCGUGAACGAGGAAUACCUUGUAGGCGCGUGUCAUCAUCACGCGCCGAAUACGUCCCUGCCCUUUGUACACACCGCCCGUCGCUCCUGCCGAUUGAGUGAUCCGGUGAGGCUCUGGGACCUGGACGGAAAGAGCGUUUCGCUUGUUCUGUUUGGGAAACUUGGUCGAACCUUAUCAUUUAGAGGAAGGAGAAGUCGUAACA